CGGUCACGUUCGUUGCAUGUGGGUGGUUUAUGCGAAGCCACAGGCGACAGCAAACCCAACCGAAGUUGAGGCGUCAGCACUAACAGCAAUCACAUGUUAAACGCCCUGUGUGAAACGCAAUUAAGCAGACAGAUCACUCCACGAACUAAGAACGGCCAUGCACCACCUAUCACACGAUCAUGAAAGGACUCGCAUCUUUAGCGCAGCACUCUCCCCGAAAGGAAGAAGUGAACUGCUAAAACCUGUCAAUCCUCAGUGUGUCCGGACCCGGUAAGAUUUCCCGCGUUGGGUCAAAUUAAGCCACAUGCUCCAC
rnacentral:rRNA from 1 species